rnacentral:rRNA from 1 species
GACAAACGCUGGCGGCAUGCCUAACACAUGCAAGUCGAACGGACAGAACAGGGAAGCUUUUCGGAGUGGAACUGGAAAGUUAGUGGCGGAUGGGUGAGUAACGCGUGGACAACCUACCUUGUAAGGGGAAUAACCUCGAGAAAUCGAAGCUAAUACCCCAUAAUAACCUUGCUUCGCAGGAAGUAAGGAGGAAAGGCGGCCUUAGCGCGGUCGAUACAAGAUUGGUCCGCGUCUGAUUAGCUAGUUGGUGAGGUAAAGGCUCACCAAGGCGACGAUCAGUAGCAGGAAUGAGAGGGUGAACGGCCAGAUUGGGACUGAGACCGGGCCCAAACUCCUACGGGAGGCAGCAGUGGGGAAUCUUCCGGAAUGGGCGAAAGCCUGACGGAGCAAUGCCGCGUGAGUGAAGAAGGCCUUCGGGUUGUAAAACUCUGUCCUUAUCGAAGAGAGAGUGUUGUAGUAACUGACAAUACUAGGACGGUAGAUGAGGAGGAAGCCACGGCUAACUAUGUG